CCCCCCCCCCCCUUUUUUUUUCAAUAUACUCCCCUCCUGGUUACCACCAGGAAUAAUGGGUGCUGCAUUUCUGACGCUUGCAUGACCAAGAAGCAUCAACUUACUGCACUGAUCUGCAAGAGCAUCAGUAUGCCCCAGCAGUACUGUGCAAUUUACUGCAUUGAUCUACAGUUGCACAUCCUAAUAACCAGCUUCUUCAUUCCUGUCCACCUUUUGUUGCCCAUGCCAUGGAAACGAACAGGUCUGAGCCACUAAGUUUGCUGCUGAACUCCUUCCACACUACCAGGUCCGAGCCACCUAGUUUGUUGUCCAUGCCAUGCUGUUGCACCUCUGAUGCUUGUCUGAUAGACAUGCUUGUCUAAUAGACACAGCACCAACAGUAGUUUAACCUACUCCUGCUCCCAUAUUUUACUGUCCAUUCCUCUGUAUAUGUUUCCAGCUGAUGCCACAUAUGAUUGACACCACUGAACUGAAUAAGCUGUUGUAUCAAACCUUCCCAUUUGCUACUGUCCAUCCCAGUUGAUGCCUUAUAUGAUUCUACAGUAACCAGUUGUAGUUCCUAACUGUUGUAGGAACAAAUGCCACCAGCAGUUUGUGUGUGUGUUCCCCUCCUGAUGCACACCAGCAGCAACAAAUGCUGCCUUGUGCACCAACAACAAUCAAACCAGGCUGCAAAGUUACAGCACCUUGUGCCUUUCCAUGCUGCUCCUCUAAUGCAUGUCUGAGAAAGGCCAGCAUUAGUGGAAACUGCUGUUGUUGUCCUAUUCUAUCUCCCAUACCAUGUUACAAACAUGUUGCAUUACUUGUUUUUGUACUUCUCCUUGCAUAAACACUAGCUGUUCCUCCAACUAAACAAUUGUCCACUGUAAUCAACUGCAGUGCCUUGCAACUCUAACCCGCUGCUUACCAGCUGCUACAUAUCCACCAGGCUACACUAGAAACCAAUUCCAACUCUGCAACACAUCAUUUCCAUAUACCUAGAAUCCAGGCUCUCCACCCAAAAACAGUUUUAAAUGAAUGGUUCCAUCAAUAUGUACCUUCCCAUCAAGCAUUUGAACCAAAAAAACCAUAUUUCCCAUUUUGCCCCUGAUCAUGAAAAAUCAGUCUUGAUAAUCCAAACCACCAGGUUCUCCAUACAAACAUAUUUUAAAUGAUUGUAUACAUCAUUAUCCAUCAUUCUAACAAACCUUUCGACCUAAAAAACCAUAUUUCCCAUUUUGCCCCUCAUUAAGAAACUAGAAUUUUAUUUUCUUCUGUGUGAUAUUUUUUUGUUGUUAAUAGACUUGAAAUUUUUUGUAUUGUAUUACUUAGAUUAAAAUUUGCAGGUCCAUUUGAAUCUCAAAAGGCAAAAAAAGUUGCUGAAGGGGCUCAAGAUGCUCAAACUAGUGAAACUAGUACUUUAUUUUCUUUUGUGUAAUAUUUUCUUGUUGUUAGUGGCUUGGACGUUUUGUUUUGUUUGACGUACUUUAAAUUUUGCAGGUCCAUGUUAAUCUGAAAAGACAAAUAAAGUGAGAGGAAUAACAUUUGUAAGAAAGUUUUGCGACUGAAACCUGGAGAAAAGUUAAGAGUCACUUUCUACCAAAAUUGAGUUGUUGGGCCAAAUCACGCCUGAUUUUCUAGACACUUGGGUUUGCUAGUUCGUGAUUGUAAUAUGUGCCCGCUGCGAGUACACUCAUGGUUGGACAUCGAAGAACAUAAGCUUGAGCACAUGUGGAAAGCUGUUACUGAAAUAUUUGACAGUGAUGACAUGAUUGAUCAUAGAGGUCAUGUUCUGCAACAUAUGAGAAAACUUUGGAAUAAUUGGAGAGGAUCAUUGCACAAGAAAAUGAAAUCGAAGUCAUUGCAUGAGGUUCUAAAAGAUGAGGUGGCAGGAGUAGAAAAGAGUGAUUGGCAAUGGUUGGUCAAGGAGCAUUUCUUAUCUUAAGGAAGCAAGUACAAGAAACUCAGUCAAUAGGUCUAAGGUAGUUAUGCCUCAUCGUACGGGUAGCAAACCUUAUAGAGAGAUUAAUUACGAAAUGGGAGGCAAAGAUGGUAAUCCACCAAACAUGGAAAUUAUUUUCUUUGAGACUCAUAAGAAGGAUGAUGAGCUUGUCAAACCUGAAACCAUUGAAAAAUAUGCUGAAAUCCAAGAGCUGAUAUAAUCUGAACCGUCUCUUACUAAUAUUGAGGUAGUGGAAAGGUGCUUUGGAUGUCAAUGCAAAAGUCAUGCAGUUGGAUUUGGGGGUGGGAUAACCGCUAAGGAGUUGAAAGGUGGUACCACCUCAAAGGCUGCAUUAUUGGAAGAGCUUAAAACAACUAAAAAAGAAAAGGAAUGACUACAAAACCGCAUGGAUAUUCUGGAGAGUAAAUAUGAACGGCUUGAACGUAUAUUGGUUCGUCAGCCUUCAUCACCUCCACUAGAUCAAGAACUUGAAGAUUGAAGAAAUGUGCUUGAACAAAGUGCAGAGCAAGUUGAAGCGCAUUAUGUUUAUUGUUUUAUUAGUAUUGAUGCAGAGACGUCAUUUGUACAUAUGCUACAAUUUCCUUUUCUCAAUUUUUAGGAUUUGAUGGAUUUAUUUUGUUGGACAUAUAUACACGCUCACAUUGCCGGUCCCAAGCCCGGAUAAAGGAGGAGGGUUGCCGAGGGUCAAUCGGAAACAGCCUCCCUACCCAGGUAGGGGUAAGGCUGCGUACAUCUUACCCUCCCCAGACCCCACUAUUGUGGGAUUACACUGGGUAGUGACCAUAU